rnacentral:lncRNA from 1 species
AAAUCUUAUUAUGGAGGAAGACUAAGUUCAUGAAACUAAGUGGCCAGGGAGGUAGGAGAAAUCGCUGCUACCUCUACAUGGAGAAAGGGAUAAAAAGUAGAGGUAGCUCAAGAGAUGAACCCCCCUGAAUCCAUAGUUUUAUAGAGGAUCUAUUGGGCUAAGAAUGAAGAAAGCUUACAAGCCAGGGCUGGUAGGGUUAAGCUUGUCUACUGUUUCUUCUCUCGUCAGAGAUCAAAACCAUAAAUAUUAUUCUGCUGUUGUUUGUUCAGUCAUUUAGUCCAACUCAUUGUCACUCGAUCUGAAUGUUAUUUUGGGACUUUCUUAUUUGCCAAUUUUUUUCCAUUUCAUUUUACAGAUGAGGAAACUGAAGCAAACAGUUAAGUGACUUGCCCAAAGAACACAGCUAGACCAGUUAUGAGAUUAGAGAUCAUCACCCAUCUGAGGAGAAGGCAACACCAUACUUACUCACCAGAGGACAGCUUCUGCAUUACUUCCACAACCAGGCCUCUAGUCAACAUUACGUCCAGCUCAGCGACGACAUCCUAAAAUAACAUAGAUAAUGAUCCCUAAGAGUGUCUGCUGGAAAUACUCUCCUCACGAUAGAACAAGACAAAAGAGUUUUCAAGUUCCCCAGUUGCAUCCCAAACCUGUACCAUUAAGACUACAAUUACCCAAGAGCUCUCAUGAUCCCAUGAAUAACUCCCUUAGACAUGAGUUACCUACACCCUGGACAAAGAUAAUAUAUAGAUGAAGAACUACUGGAAGAUAAGUACACUAAGACAUUGUUGGUGAAGCUGUAAAUUUGUCCUACCAUUCUGGAAAGUAAUUUGGUAUUAUGCUUUAAAAAAAUUAAUUGUGAAAAAGUGAAUAAAAUGUCUAUAUCCCUUGACUAAAAAGUGACA